AUAGCUAAGAUAUUCGGCCAUGUGAGGCUCAUGAGUCCUUCAGCCAAUAAGGAGUUUUAGUUCUUAUUUCCAAUAGUAUAUAAGAAAAGGGACUUGGUUGAAGGGAGAAAAGGCUUUGCUGCUAUAACGUAACGAUGGGAGAAGCAAGGGAAGAAAAAAAGGCUUCCCAUGCUAUCAGAUUAUGGAAUCAUUCAGCUAUACUUUCUCAUUAACUGCAGCUUUUUUUUUUUUGAUAUGAAGGGAGGUUGCCCACCCAUGUUAUUAAGAAGGGAGAAAUUACAAAGAGUAAUGGGUUUGGCUAAGCCAUAAGCUGAGAUAGCUUGGUCCUUACCAGACCCCAAAGGAAAAGAAAAAUUCAGGUUUCCAGGUGUUUGAAAGUAAAAGGUCUUCAGCGACAAAGACUUAUGUCCUAGGCUUCCUUCAGAGCCUUAAUCAUUUCUGGCAGUUUGUGCUGAAACUCAUGGUUGGCUAAAGAUGUCCAACUCUCGAACAUAAUAGUACUGAGUUCCACAGUUUUCAGGGCUGAGUUUGCCUCGAUUUGAAGACCCAGCGAUGUUGUUCUUUCAUAGACACCAAAAGAUAGUGACCAUUAAAUUAUUCCAUAGUAUCUUCGGGUACUUGGUAGGCAGUCGAUCCCUCCAGGUUGACCAGAGAUCUUGAACUGCACUGGGUGGAGAGGGGAGGGGUGUUAUUUGGGAUAAUGAGGACCAUACAACUCCGGAAUAACCACAUGUUAAAGGGAGAUGAUCAACAUCCUCAUAUUGUUCGCAGCAUAUCAUAUAGACGGAUGGCGCUGGGAAUCCUCUUUUCCUAAGGUUCUCUGCUGUAAGGAUUUUAUAAUUAAAAACCAGAUUUUCUCUAGGAGCAACAUUUUCCAGUUGAAUUUUGCAAACUGGGACAUGACUCCUCCAUGGCUGAAGAAAUGAUAACAUUUUUUCAUCAUGAAAGUCUUCUUAGUAUCCCAUUUCCAUUGUGCUAUGUCGUUCUUUUGCGCUGUUGAUGGAGCUCAAAAGCUUGAUGAGGGAUUAGUAUUCUUCAAUGGCUCUGGCGCAUAAGGAUCAUAAAAUAAACUUUUAAGUUCCUCAUUUUCAAUUACUUGCUUUACUGAGAUGUUCAGGCUUGUCAGAAGGAAUAAGCUUGGGAAGAGUGAUUUGAGUGGUCCAUUUGCUGCCCAGCUGCCUGCCAAAACGCAAUCUGUCUGCCAUCUCCUAUCCUGAAGAUGAUGCUUGAGUUGGAAAAGGGUCUAACCUUCACUACGUUGCUCCAUGCACAGGAUGGGAAAUGAAGGCAAUCUCCAUGGCUUAUCUUGCUCCUGAAAAUACCUCCACCACCUCUUAAGAAGAAAGCAGUGGCUGAAAGUUUUCAAGUUUAACAAUCCCAAGCCAUCUAGUCUCUUCAGUCUGCAGAUAUGAUCCCAGCUAGCAAGGUAGCAUCCUCCAUUACAAUGUUUGUGACCCCUCCAUAGGAAGUUCCUCCAUUUCUUAUCUUUUUGAUGAUUUCAUGAGGGAGAAGGAAAGUGGAUAUCCAGUAGGUGGAAUGGACCUCGGCACUGCAUUAACCAAGCACAACCUGCCUCCAAAAGAGAGCAGCUUACCUUUCCAAGCUACUUCCUAUCUACUUUCUCGACAAGUUCCAAUCAGAAAGUCUGAGUUUGGCCAAGGGGGAGCCGAGGUAGUUAACAUGAAGGGUUGCUUGGAAACAUCCCAAAAUUGUGGCAAAAUUCUUGCUUAUAUCUUUCGGCAAGUCCAUUCUUAUCAUAGAACUCUUAUCAAAGUUUAUUUUCAAGCCUGAAGGUAUCGUCGGCAACUCAGCAUAUUGAAGGUGUCACCAAUCAUGUUUAACGGUCCAAUGCUAGCUAUCAAGCCAAUUUUUUGUGCAAUUCUUACUGUUUGGUCCCGGAUAUCGGUGAUAAGGAUGAACAGUAGUGUGCGUGGUCUAUCAAACUAGACUGAACCGCCCGAUUCGGCCCGUACCGAACUGACCCGACACGGACCAGGUUAGUUCGGCUGUGGGGUUUGGAUCCGAACACGAACCGGUCAGAAUCUGUCCAAACCAACCUCGAACCGCUCGAAACCGGUCCAAAUCGGCCGGUUCGCAUCAGACCGAUUCUCCCUCUCUUCCUCUUUAUUUAUGUGUUGGGAGAACUGUUGGGAAGGCUCGAGAACCUUCUCCAGCCUUCAUUGAAGUCUUCAACCCCCCGGCCAAAAAAACACGAUUUAAGAUGAUUCAAGGAGGAUCCAGCCCAAAAUAAGGUAUGCUUCCUCUCUCCUACCUCAUUUUCUUCUUUUUUCUUCAAAGAUGAAAAAUGCCUCAAUUUACAAAAUGAGGAAAGAUCAUCCCAAAAUUUUCGAUUUUGGCAUGAUUUCAUGAUAUGUUAUAGAUCUAUGGCUGAUCUGCACAAUCCUACUAAAAUUUUUAAUUUUUGAAUUAUAUAUAAUUUUUAAAAUAAAAAAAUAUAUUUUUUGAUUAAAAAUUAAUAAAAUAAAAUAAAAUUCAAAAAAUAACUGUAAAAUCAGAAGCUUAUCUAAGGACAUGCAAGCUAUUCUCAGCAAAAUUUGGUGCUAAUUAUUUAAGUUUUGACACGAUAAUGGGCAUAAUGGCCUAGACCAAAUUUAAAAAAAUAGAAAAGAAAGUAACCAUUGAUGCAUGCCUAUAGGCUUCGAAAAAUAUAUAUAGCAUCCAUGAUAAGCUUCUACAUAAAUCUGAGCUCAAAUUAAUUUUCUAAAAUAUUUGUAUUUAAAAAUUAUUUUUUAGUUUAAAAAAUGAUUAAAAGUAUAUAAUUAAUACAAAAAAUAUAAAAAAUUAGUAAUACGUAUUACAUAUUUCAGAAGUAUUUUCUGAAGUAAAAAAUAUAUUUCUUUGAAUUUAUGAUAUUUAAAGAUAUUUUUUUAAUUUAAAAAUUAUUAAAAUUAUAUAAAUAAAUCAAAAAAUAUAAAAAAAUAGUACUAUGUAUUAGAUAAGUCAGAUGUAUUUUCUGAAAUAGAAAAAUAUAUUUUUUAAUCGUAACAAAAUUUUGCUAUUUUUAAAUAAUUAAUUAAAUUGACGUGUUCAAUAAACUUACCGGAAUGGAACUAUCAAGAAAAAAAGAUUCAGAGUGUGUCAUUAGUUGGGAUCAAGGGCAAAUGCUCUCGAAUUGGCACUAUCCCGACAUAUCUAUAUAUAUCACAAAUGCCUAUAGGAGUUCCGACAGCUGGUAAAAUCAGCAAAAGAGAAGAUUUCUAAGAAGAAGACGAAGGUGGACCGCCGAGCAAAAAAUCGUGACUCACUAUACAUAGAUGUUCUACCUCCAAGACCCUAUUUCCCUUGCAAGACCCAUAAACAAGAAUUGAAUAAAUGGGAAAUGGGGAGCAAACCCAUGCCAUGCCAGCCAUUAUAUAAAAUAGGUAGCAGGCCUUGUCUGGGUACCCUUUCGAGCACAACCCAAGGAUUAGGAGAUUAAAAGUCAAGAAUAGUGGGAGAACACAAACGCCUAGUGGAAGGCGGAAUGGAGGGACUCAAGGUAGUGGAGGAGAACGUUAGGGUGGCGGAUGAUGAGGGGAGCCGGAGGCAAGGUUGAUGGCCAAUUUGGGGUUGGGAUAUCACAUAAUUUGGAGCGGGAAGUUUUCUUGUUAGCAAGUGCUAUCUAGGGUAUUUUAGUCCAAAAGUUGUCAUAUGACCAUCGCAUGAUACAACCAAGGUUUUAAAUCCCUUAGGAUAGGGUUAUCCCAGUUUGCCCAUGGAAUGGGGUACACCGCCAUCUCGCUCUAUCCCAAGUGUUGUCUCGGUUUGCCCAUGGAAUGACAUGCUGCCAUCUCACCCCAUCCCAACACUUCGGACAUGGGAUGUCCUAAGAUAUGCCGAUCAGGACACUGAGAUAAUGGCAAGACGGUCUUGUCCUGACACUCAGGACAAUGCCUCGUCUCGAUGUUCCACAGAAUGCCCCACUGGGAUUUGAGACCAUGACACAAUCCAUUGAGAUCAUGUAAAUGAAGAUAGACGAUGGGACCGCAAUGGAUCACUUAACGAACUUAAGGGAUCUAAUUGAAAAUUUUUGAAUAAGAGAAAAGUAAGUGAAAUUUACCCUAAGUUGAGGGGUGAGGGGAAAACUUAUAUGCUGUGAGAUAAUGGCUAGUUGGAAGUUUUUUUUGUUUAGCUACCAAUUGAUGUUGUAGUGGUCUGUUUGGUUGCUUUUAGGUAUUGCACAUAAAUAUUAUUGGUAGGAUUCUUUUUUAUGCUAAUGGAGGCAAGGAUACAAGAAACGUUAGGUUAACAGAAUUUGCUUAUUUUGUCAUUGAUGUUGUAUACUCCAUGAAUCUUUAAUUCAAUAUCAUAUAACUCAAGUUUCCUUGCAUUCUUUUUCGAGUUCUAUUCCUAGCACCCUUUUACCCUUCAAAAAAACAUUAUAGUUCGCAUGAUUGUUUUCUUUUAUUUGUUGUUGUUGUAUCUUUUUUAUUAAUAACCAUGCAUCUAGACAAUUUUUUGCCAAAGAGGUCACGUUUAGAUCUUAUCUAGUGCAGUCAGGUUCACAAUAUGAACAUCAUUAUGGUUCAAAUUUAAUCAAGGAACAAUAAUACGUCAUAAAAACAUAUUACCAACAAACAUUGCAUAUUACAUAGUUAUACAUGACAUACACUAUUCGUUUAAGAUUUGAUUGUAAUUAUGCUUCAAGUUACGCCUCUCGAAAUACCUUGUUAAUAUUUUUUAUGGUGCACUGGAAGUGCUUUAUUGAUAUUCGAAAAGCAACAUGAACAUUACAAGUUAUAGUUUGUGAGUAAAUGCUCUGCAAUAUUACUAAAAGUUAACAGUACUAAACUGCUAAUACUUUAGUAGUCCUUCCAUGCAUUCUUUUAUUUUGACAUAUCCAAGAUAGAAGGUCAAACCUUAUCAGCAAGAAGAAGACCUUCAUCAAAUGAACUUGGCGUAAUUUUAGUCCAAUCUGCCAGGUUUUAAGUUUGAUGGGGGCUUAGAUUUUGUUUUAGUUUGAUGGGGGUUGAGAUUUAGUUUUUUAAAAGUUUAGGGAGUAUUUUCCUCAAUCUUGCCCAUCAAGGGUCUGAUCUAACCUACCAAUCCCUAUUUUUCCCUUCCGUGUUUGACCAUGAAUCUAAACUUUGAUUUUUCCUCCUUUCUUUUAGGGGAAAUAAGGAAAGGGUCAUUUAAUUUAUAGGAUCCAAGUUAGAAAGUUUGAAAGAGGUUUUAAUUUAUAUAAAAUGUAUUUUGCUGUCAUUUAAGAACUAUUCGCAUAAAAAAAAAACAUUUUUUUCACCUCUUUGGAAGAGGGCCUAUAAAUUUUGGCUCUGAAACGAGAUUCACAGGUUGAAAUUGCAGAAAUCAAAAUAAAUUCAGAAAUUAUCGUCUUUUCUGUUUAUUUUUUCAGAUCUGAAAUCACAUUCAGAUUCAUACAAGUGUGGAUUUUAGAUCAAUUCUAAACUACAUUUGGAAAUCAAUUUGAAGGUUUCCUUCAGAAUAUCGGUUUAUAUCAGGACUCCUUUGACCAGGAGCAGAGAUUUAAUACAAUUUAUAAGUCCUACUCCAUAACUCUGAUGAGGAGAUCAAUAAAAUGCAUGAAUUAAUAUCAAAUAAUAACAUUUUGAAUUUCAUAAAACCAGAACCAAUAAGAAUUUCAAUUAGAAUGAAGAGCAGUUCCUGAAGUCUAAUGCUUUGUGUCCAUAAACUAGAGAAAGGAAAGUUUUUCAUAAGGACGGCUCCUUAAUUCUUCAAUCAGACUAGUAAUAACUCGAUCAUAAUUUCAAUAAUUAAAGCUCACAGAUUGGAGAAAAGCAAAUAAUUUUAUAGAAUAACUUUCGCAGAAUGUCAUUUGAACUGACAUUUUAUAUAGUUCAUGUAAUAGACAAAAAGAAAAGAAGUUAAGCAAAAGUGCAGUUACAGCUGUAUAUACAGUGGUUUCCAUGUCUUAUUGGCAUUAUGUCAAGCAUGGGGUGCUCUAGAAAUAUAGUUUGAGAUUUGUCUAAAAUUUAAAAAGGUAACUUAGAAAAAGAUUGAAUACCGAGUUUCUCAUAAAACAGAGAAUAACUGAAGGUGAAUGGAGAAAAGAGUGACUGACUCACAGGUAUAUUGAUGUUAAUGCUAUAUUCAGAAAACCAUGCUGCUUUUUCCAUUCUUACCAACUUUUAGUUCAGCUCAAAUGCAGGUGCUUCACCUAAACUUUGGCCUCUUCGAAGGCACACCCUUCCUUAUAUCUGGAACACGGGACUUCACAAGGGCUUUUGCCUUCCUUCUCCUCCUCUCUUCUUCACUGUCUGAUUCAUCACCCUUCUCCCUGUCAGCAUUACUUGCCUCCCGCUCCAGCUCCUCCCAAGUCUUCCCCUUCUCCUCAGAGUCCUCUGAAUCCUCCUCUUCAUCUUCAUCUGACUCCACCAGUGACUCACUGCCAUUAUCAUCACCCUCAGAAGCAGAAUCCGGCUCCAGAUCAGAGGGCUCAUACCCUUGGUCUGAUUCCUCAGUAUUAUCUGAUUCUGAGUCACUUGCCUCCAAGUUUAGGAACUCCCAUCCACCAUCUUCAAUAAACUUCUGAGGGUCAUCAAUAAUAGUUUUCAAGAUCGGGCGCCAAUUUAAGUUCAACCUGCUCUCAUAAUACUUCAGAUCAGUAGUGUCGAGCCACUCUUUAAUUCCAUCUAAAGAUGUGGAUGGAAUAGAAUCUAUGCGAAGAACAUCUUUCUUGAAGUCUUUGAAUACGAUGGUCAUGUCAAAGUUCUUCUGUCCAAGCCCUACCCUUUCCAGAUUAACAAUUUCAAUCUCACUCAAAGUAACUACCAGAAAUGGGGUCUCAGUAAGUUCAACUAAACAGCUUGAAGUUGGAACAAUGAAAGCUGAAGCCUUAUGAGGAACUCCAUGGAAACCAAGCUCCCUCAGAGGCAUAUCAAACUCCAGAUCUAGAUCUUUGAGUUGUGGUUGUGCCCAAUGGUCAUGUACCUUGUUGAUGAAGUUCUGAAAAUCCAUGUUUAUUCUGUUUUUUCUUUCCCUCUCACGCUGCUCUUCCUCUAUCUCAUCAGGAUCGAUGGCUGAUCUCCUCCCACCACCCAAUGUCUGCACAACAUCCAUCACUUCGACAUAAAAUUGGACAUCUUUAGUCUUCCUAUUGCCCACCAUUAUGUGAUUGUGCAGAUGAAAGUGCAGAAGUGUAAUCAUUUCUCUCUCUGCAGGCUGGAAGAAGGCAUGCUUAAUGUUUCCAUACAUAAUAUCCACUCUCUCAUCAGAUCUGGAUGUCGAAUACCGGAAUCCAUUAAUAUGAGCCUCUAAAAUGCCAGGUAGCUUUCUUCCACGACCACCAAACGUGGGGCGUAUCCACAAGUCUGAUAACCUGAUCGGUUUCAACCUGUUGCCAGAAAGCUGUAGUUUCUCCUGAGUAACCAAAGUGGCCCUCUCAGCUCUCUCUGACUCCCUAGAUGCAACUUGCCUUCUAAGGGUCUUGAUCAGUUGUACCACUUCACUGCUAUGCCUCGGAUCCUUGGAACGGAAGGUGAUCUCCUUCAAAUAGAUAGCACCUUGAAAUUUAAGGGAGUUCGCAUCAUGGGGGUUAAAAGGUGUACCAGGCACAUUGAAUAUUAUACGGAUUGUGCAGGUUCGAUUGUCUUGAUGCGAAGUCACACUCUUCACAGUAGAGACAUGGAAGGGAACCAUGCUUCCAUAUAUUGGUAAAAGAAUAGCUUCAUUCCUCUGGUCCACUUGUAUCACCAGCUCCCUUGAAUAGGGUAUAUCAUUGACAUUCUUGUAAGCAGUUAGUUCAGUCGAAGUUCUUACAGGACCUCGCCCAUCUGCAUUUGCAGAGCCACCACCAGCUAGCCUCCUGGCAGUCUCUUCGUUCUUCUGGCGAGCAAGUUCUGCUUGGUGUUGUCUCCGCAGCUCUUCCUUCGACAUCUCCUGGUUGUCCGACCUCAGUGUUGCUUUGGAUGGAAAGGGACCCGUGCCAUUAACUGGAGGUCUGGCCCUGGGAGGUUCCUCUUCUUCCUCUUCCUCAUUAAAUGAGUAAGCAAUGUCCUUGACUGCCUUGAAGCACCCUGCAGUCAAGACUUCUGAGGGCUUUUCACUAACAAUAACAGUGUCAGCCAGCAAAAGAGAGAAUGUCUGAGUCUUCGGAUUGUUUGUCUCAGCACGGAGGUUCUGGAAACCAAGCGAGACAUUAAAAACCAUGCCCGCCUUCAGAGACCGAUCAGUUUUCGAAUUUAGGCUAAACCCAGAUUCACGGAACUCGAGGCCAAUUCCUGUUCCAGCUGACUUGGUUAGAUUUGGAAGGAGUUCUGGUGCUUCUUUCUCAACCACAGCAACUGCAGCCUGGUAAGCAGAACUAACCUUAUUACCAGGCUUCAAAGCACCUAUUGCAGCAUCAUGAGCCUUGAGGAGAACUUCGUAUGCCUUACUCUGUGAUGCAGUAGCAUCAAUCAAAAAUGUUCUGGCAACAUUUGAGCAAUAACUGUUGUAGCGUGAGCCAAUUGCACAUAUGAUAACACUUGUUGAGUCAUAGUACAGAUUGUCAUCAUUACUUGAUGCGCUAGGCCUAAGGUCAAACUUCCCACCACUCUGAACGAUAGGAGGAUAGCAUAUAUCAACAUUUUCUGCCUUCAGCUUGACCUUGAUCUUGGAUGGAUCAAGUAUCACCUUUUCUGUAUCAUCCAUUAGUGAAGAAUGAGAGACCUUCCUUUCUUCAUCAAUAGCCUUCUCAAGCUUUGGGACCACAAAGUUCUUCAUCACUGAUGAAGUUAAAUAUGCAGCUUUCCUCGCACAAGUGAGCUCAAUGGCAUCUUUGACAGCAAACAGUUCCGAGAAACCAGGUGUCACAUCAGUGAGCUGUAACAUUGAACCACCCAGCUUCUCAGACCAUCUUUCAAGAAGCUUCCCUUCCGGCGCCUCUUUUGCAAUGUAUCCAACAAUUGGAUCAGAUUUGGACUGAGAACGAACAGCACGCAAUAUCUCAUCCAUCAAGGCAGUCCCAUCAUCAUUCUUUGCCUUAACAUGUAUGACAACAUCGGUACCAACAGCUUCCUUCGCAGACUUCUUAAGGGUUUCAAGCAGAGUGGCUUUCUUCUGACUACACAAGAAAUGGAUCUGCUUGCUCAUGAAAACCAUGAUCGUCUCUGGGAACUCAUAUCCAAGCAACCAGAUAUUCAAGGAUGAUGACUUCAGAUACCGAAGAUCUUCAGAAGUAGGGGGAGUUGCAAUGGUUAUAGCAUCGGCAGAGCCCCACAAAUCAGCUUUGUGCUCCUUCCAGUGUGUAUAAAACCCCUGCAGACGCUUGCUGAAAUUCUCAAGAUUGAUUGUGUACGCACCAGCCCCAGAGGCAGAUGGUUUUGUGCUUUGAUGAUCAGCCAUCAGUCACCAAGUCACCACAAACAACAGCUACUAUUUUUUAAAAUGAUGCUGAUUGAUUAUUGAUGUCCUCUAAUCUCUCACAGAGUAGAUUAACCUGACAAGAAAAAAUCCACAUAUAUAAGGAUCCAAAUAUGUCAAAAUAGAAUGCGAAAAGAAAGAUGAUACAUCUCUACUAUCUGCUAACAUAGAGCAAAAAUUUCAUGUCCAGCUGUGUAUAGCCGUGGGCACCAUUCCAUCACAUGCUUGGCACAUGCCCUGAGAUAUGACAAGUAACUGCACACUUCUCCCCUCUUUGUACACAUUCCCAUCUUUACUUAUUACACCUCCUUGGUUCAACCAAUCACAAUUCUCAUUUUGGUCCUCCUCCAUCAAUGAUUCCCUUAACUGCCAAUGCUCAUUAUAAAUCCUACCAGAGAUCUAUCUUUGUUCUUUUUCUGGACAAACUACAGACCAAUUUCUAAGCAGAACAUGCAGCACGAAUGCCAAAAUUUCACUGUAUUAUAAAUGUAAACUAAAAUUCACAACAAAAACGGAUACUGCUCAAUAACAUUUUCCCCUUCUAUGUAGGAACAGCUAUAGUUUAAGCAAAUCGAUAAUAAAAUUUCAAACGAACACUAAGAUGCUAUGAAAUCAAAAGUUUGUUGCUCCAAAUUUUUUAUUUGAGGAAAACAUUUAAAAAUGGAAAAGAACAAAUUGUCCAGAGAAAACGAACCUCAACGAAUGCCCCACAAAAUAGCAAAAAAUUAAGAUAAGUCCAAAAGAUCUCCCAUUCUCACAAGCACAGAAACGAGUCCAUCCCAUAUACUCCUUUAAGGUUAGUUCAAGGGCUUCAGAAAAACCAAAAUAUCAACAAAAUGCACAAAAUUCCAUCAUAAUUCCCACGGAGAACCUAGAAACGACUUCCUCCUCUCCCACGAUCACCAACCAGCACCCGUCCAAAAAACACAAACUUGAACUUUGGGUUAGGGUUCGAAGGAGGGUUGGGACCAUCUCAAUCCCCGAAAGCCAGAAACAAACCAACAGAUUAAACAAAGCAAAGAGUCAAAAUACCUCAAACUUCGCCCUCCGUUUUGCUCCUAUCAGCAGCUCCAAUCCACCCGUUCCUGCCCCAAAAAAUCAAAACCAAAGUUAGGGUUAGGGUUUCCGCGACUUCCAAUCAAGCUCAAAUCCACGCCUCAAAGAAAAGAAAUAAAGCAGCAAAGUUACUCGUUUCUCUCCUCCCCGAGAGCCCCCUUCGUCGGCAAUUCCGAUUCUGCCGCGGCCGACUUGUUUCCUAUCGAGGAAGGGCUAGGGUUAAGGUUCCGGAAACGCUCGAAAUGGGGGAAUUCGGCGGCUCAGGAACCCUAGAAGAAGACGAAAUCCAAUCGAAGGAGAGGACUGUAAAGGAAAAGAGAGAAGAUUUGAAGAAGAGAAGAGGAUAAAUCGAGGGCCUGAGGAAAGAAAAAGAAAAAGAAAAAUCGGAACUUUUUUUUAUAGGAGAGGGGAGAGGUCGAGAUACGAAGAGGGAGGAAGAAAAAAAUAAAAAAAAAAGGUCGAGAGAGGGACAGAAGAAGGGAUUCAAUAUCGGGGAGAGAGAGAAUUCGACCGCCCGCCUUUGAGACCAUUUAUACGUGCUGACGCCCUCGCAGAUUUCGGGAUCGACUCGACGCCGACCCGAAUCCGUUUUGCUCUUCUGAAACGGGUUUGGGUCGGAUCAUUGGAUCAUGUUCGGUUUGGGAUUAGCCCUGCAUCUGUAUUCAAGUUCAAAACACACACAUUACAGAGAAUUAUGUUAUUGAACAGUCUACUUUCUCUUGGUAAUGUUGGUUACGCUCACGCGAGAUUAAUGUGAGUAGCAUAUGUACUAAAAAAAAGAGAGAGAGAGAGAGAAAUUAUAUUCUAUGCGACGUGCACCACAUGCACGUUGCCAAUCACAGUCGCUCGUUUCUAUUCUGUGCUUCAAAAUGAGCGCUUAAUAAAUAAGGCCAAUAAAAACGAGUGCUAAUAUUGGUGCACCGCCGUAGAAACGAGCAGAUGUGAUUGGCAUCAUGCAUGGUCAUAUGGUACAUGGAGAUAUAAUUUAGGGAGAGAAAGAGCUAUUCAUAAUUUUGGGGUUAGAGGCAUUUGUGAAGCUAUAUUUGCCGAUGGCUUGGAAAAUGAGGUGAGGAUACAUUGUCAUCGAGGAGGUGUUAACCUACUAAGCUAAUAAUUUUUGAUCGAAAGUAUCUUCGCAAGAGUCAAUAUGGUAAUAAUGAAGGGAAUUUUCUCCUAUACAUAAGAUUCUUUAUCCUGCAAAGACUUCUUACCUCAUAUGCUCUCUCUUCAUGACAACCAUAAGAACAAAAAGGGUGAUGUUACUCACACGUGAGGCAACCCAUAGAUCGGAAAAGGCAUGCGGAAACUUGCGACCCGCAUCGAACAUUCUCUGAUAGAAGGGGGGCCUAGUGGAGCUUGCUAUGCAGGUGGGUUUGUCCCUCGAACAUUCCCCAAUAGAAAGGGGGCCCAGUGGGGCUUGCUAUGCAGGAAGUCCAAAUAGAAGAACUAUGUAGAUUCUUGCAGCCAUGAUAUCUAUCAUGCUAAGAUUUGUAGAGACAGACGGGUCUGUUUGUGAGGACUUGCAGUUAUCCCUACCCUCUGCGUAGUGUAAGCAUGACAAACACUGCUAUACAUAUAUAUAUACAUAUAUACAUAUAUAUAUACAUAUAUACAUAUAUAUAUGUAUAUACAUAUAUACAUAUAUAUGUAUAUAUAUAUACAUAUAUAUGUAUGUAUGUAUGUAUAUGUGUACAUACAUAUGUAUGUAUGUAUGUAUGUAGGUACGUACGUCUUGUUGUGCCUCUGAUAAUGCUUGCUAACAAGCUAUGCCCACUUUGAUUCAAAUUUAGCCAGCAAAUGAGCUAUUUGCAUCCAACCACUUCUUUUGCCUCCGACCGUUCCAUCAGAUAGGGUUGCUGACAGAUCACCGAAGAUUGCAUAUUCAACCCUUAAUUGAUCACCUGAUCAGAACAAGCGGAUUAGGUAGUUUGCACCAUCGGUCUAGGAUGCAUAAAAAGAUUCAUCAUCCAGUACAUUUCCUAUGCUUCAUUUCUUUGACGACAAUGGCUGUAUUGCCCUCGUCAGUCUUCUCUUUGUUUGUCUGAUAAGUUACAUUACAGAGGUCCAUCCGAGUGCAACCCAUGUUCUCAUAUCCAUUAUUCUGAUACUCCUCAUGAUCAGUGAUCUGCUGCUUCUGUAUAUCACAAUCUCCCAUGUUGCCAAACUCAUGCCUCUUGACACUAUCAAACUUCGAAAGUAAGCGAAGAAAACGAACCACAUCUUCUCAGCAAGUUCAUGGUUGUGUUCCUCCUCAAAUUUAUUUACUUUCCAAUUCCGAAUCAACUUAAGUCUAUCUGGAUAGCCACUUCCCACUACGACUUAGCAAGUUCACCCAGUUAAUAAAGAGAGCAUCAUUUCUUUUCUCGAGAGAGAAACGUUGCUGCAUGGACUCAACGUCCAUGUCAAGCUCAAUCUUCCUCCCUUCAGGCUACAAUAAAAUUUGUGUUGCUUUAAGCAACGUUGUUAUUAGAGAAUACGAUAUGGGGAUUACCCUUCUCCCUUCGACCUAACUAGAAGUAAAAGUGGAUCGGAUAAUAUCUAUUGGGAUAUGAAACUAUUCAGAUAGAGAUAGAAAUUUGAGAAUUCGACUAAUAUCCAUAUCCGUAUCCAUAAAAGAAAAAUAGAUAUGGAUAUGAAUAUAGAUAGACAAUGAUCAAUCCGUAUCCGAAUAUCUAAUUUCAUUUAUAACCCUAUUUAAUUUUAUAUAGCACUCAUAAACUUUUUAAAAAAAAUAAAAACCACAUUAACAUUACUAUUAACUUAAUUUAUCAUCCACUUAGUAAUAUCUUUAAUUUUAGUCAUAAAGUUUAAUUGUCUGAUUUAUGUUAGUAUUUAUAUCCGUACUUUUGAUAUCCAAUUUGUAACCCCAUCCUGUUAAAACAAAUAUGGAUUUGAAUUUUUGCAUCCGACUAACAUUCAUAUCUGUAUCUGUAUUCGUCAAAUAAAAUAAAUAUAGAUAUAGAUGUACUAGUAUCCAAUCUGAUUUCAGCCUAAAGCUAACCUACUCCUUCAAAUUUCAAAAUUGCCAUCUAUUUUGAGCCCCUCUCUCUCUAAAUUGUAAAAAAAAUGGCAUUAUAAAUAGUUAUAUAUUUAAUUCAAAAAGAGAGUGAAAAGAAAAAUCCAACCCUUCAAGAUAGCACCAAAUGUUGAUAUAAAUUGGUGGGUAGGGUAAAGUAAAAGAGGAGAUGAAGCAAAGCCUCCUCUUUUCAAUGGUAUUUAUGAAAAAAAGUGCAUCAUGCAAUUAAAAUUAUCUUCCAUCUUUUGGGAGGUCGUAGUGGUUGGAUAGUCUGAGUCACUACCAUGCAAAUGCCAGACAUGGUUUUGUCAUGGAGGUCGCCUGCCAUUUAUUUAACAAUGGAGACAAGGCAUCAUACCCAUGUUUGUCCAAAUAGGUGUAGAUGAAGAUAUCGGAUUGCACAGAAGUAAAUAUGAUUGUUUCAAAAAAAACUGGGCAAUGGAAAAUACAUGAAAGAAGUUCCUAAGGUCUACAUAAUACUGCCUUGGAAACUACUUAUUCAACCAAACCCUAUUACCAAGCUACACAAAUCUCCACAUGCCAUGUGAUAGAAAGAACUUGUUUCCCAAGUGCUUGACCCAGAUGAUUCUGAUUAGUGGUACUCCCCACUGUUUUUUUUGUUAUCAACAGAAAAAAAGGACCUUAAAAUAACAAAAUGUUAAUGUAAUCAAUCUAGAAUGCUUGAUGAUGCUAAUAAUUUAAAGUUUAAACUAUUUACAAACUUAUAUGAAGUGCUAAAACAUGUUGACUGAGAUGCACAACAAAACUGUUCAUGGCCCAUCCCUCCCAUGAAGCAUAUCAAAUUUAAUCACCAUUCCAUCUUUCUUUGCAUAAGAGUAUAAUACAAGUAACCAAAAAUGACCCAUUGGCACAAGAAUCAGUUCUACCAGCAAGGGAGUAUGGCUUUGUGAGCAAUUUCUUACACCUUGAUGGUCAAGCCUUGAAAGCUGCUAAUGAAUCACCAUUUUGACCUGCGUGAGGGCUGCAGCAGAGACAUUCCACUGAGAGAACCCACAUUUGAUUAAAUAGAAGACAGGCAGUUCAUCAAGCAUGAGCUAAUGCAUUCUAUAGAUUGUAAAUGAAAUUAAUUACUCAAUAUCAUAAUGCAAGACCCCCCCACCACCACCAAAAGAAAAGAAAGAAAAAAAAACUUUAAUGUCUUCCACCAUUUAUGGAAUACGUACAAAAAAUCAUCCUUCCUUUGUUAGAACCAAUCUAUGGACAGAUAAACCACAGAAACACUCCCAUUUGUCUUCUGCAUUGUUCCCAGAGCCAAACCUGUAAAACACAUACAGGCAACAUUAGGAAACAUCCUUCAGUCAUGUUCCCAAAUGUCCUGAAAGAGAUCAUCCUUUAAAGUGGGUGUUAAAAUAAUUGGCAGAGAAAUUCUCCUCUAAAGAGGGUUAUACUGGAAGAAAAUUUAAAGCAAAUGUAGUUUAAAAGGCAUGAAUGUUAUUAAGACGAGUAACAUAGGGCAAAAAAUUCAACAAUAUUACUCCUACUGACAGGCAAGAGGCUAGGAAAAUAGUUUCAAAAAAAUGGUACAAAAAUUAUAGUUCGGUAUGAAGCACAAAGCCUCUCUGCAUCAGCAACAAGAUAACAAUUAUGUAAAGUAUAUACCAUGAAGCACUACCUACAUAUCCCAUUCAUCAUGUCAUAGAAAGAAUUAGAUGUUUUGUCAGGAUCCAUUUAGUUGACAGUGAUUGUUAGCAUUUAGCAAAACUAUGGAGCAAAACCUCUCUGCAAAUUUUAAAUCUUAGAUCAACUAAAGAUAAAAUGUAAAGUAUAUUUAAGAAGAUUAAGGGAUUAAAAGAGCAAGAGAAUUUUGGUGAGCCAACUUAAAUCAUUUUCUAAGGCUAGCAAGUCAAAACUCCAUGCAACUCAGAUAAUUUGGGAAAGCUGUGUAUGACCACCAUCAUGGCAGUUGUUUUGACCCAGUCCACCAAUGCUUGGGUGGCUCAACAGGUAAAAGAAAGAAAGAAAAAAUUUGUGUCAAAUCAAAUGAUUUCUAAUGUGUUUCAAGCUAGAAUGAUUUGUCCUUGACUUCAGGCAAGCCAAAAAACUCGAAUGAAUUUAAAACUCCUGAAUCAAGCUGUAAGAUUUUUCGAUAAUAUCAAUCUCUUAAAGAGUUAAAGCUCUCAAAAGCUACAUGGCGUAAAAUCUUCAGUAAUUAUGAAUUACUGCAUUAAGGUGAUAAAAUCAAUAGCUACUCAAAACUGCAACUUUCAAAGCGUGGUCGUUGAUUGGCUGCUUUAAUAAUUAAAAUCUCCUGGCAUUUAUACAUGAUAGAGGGCUUGGCCAGUUAUUCCAUUCAUUACACUAGGAUAAAGGUAUUUUCGAUUAGCGUUGGAAGUAGACCGGGCCGGGCCAAGCUAGGACCCUACUCGAACCCGGCUCGAAUUUUUUUUCGGGCCGGGCUUAGGCCCAAAAUUUUUUAGAUAAUCUAGGCCCGAGCCCGACCCAAGCCUAGGGCCGAGCCUGGCCCGAAUCCGAUUGGGCCAACCCGAAUUACCUGUUUGGGACAAAAAUAGGUCCGGCCCAAACUCGAUUGAAAUUUAAUAUUUCAUAAUAUUGCUUGACAAGUAAAUGAGCUAGUUAAAAUUAGGCUUUCUCCUAUAACACAAAUAAAAUACAUGAUACAUUAUUCUCAGCUAAACCAAUUUUAAUUUGUCCUUUACUUCAUCAUUAUUCUCUUUAAAUAACAACAUACAAAAACAAAUUGAUUCGGGCUCCAUGUCGGGCUUGGGCCGGCCCGGCCCAAUAACAUACCCAAGCCCGGCCCGACAAACAAAUGAGCUCUACAUUUAAGCCCAAAUCCGGUCUGAACUCUUUCGGGCCUAGCUCAAAGCGCGGCUCGGCCAAAUGGGCCUCGGGCCGGCCUGAGCCUAUUUCCAACCCUAUUUCUCAUUUUCACAAUAUUUUUCUCCCUAAGAAAUUAUGGAUGCAGUGGUCAUUAUUUAAAUAACAAAAUUCAUACGUGUUUCUUCUUUGCAUUAGUUUAAAUAUAAUUAAAUGUAUGAAAGAGGAUAUAAUUAUAAUUUUUUAUGUUUAUUCUAAUUAUUUCUUAGGUAACUAAGAAGUUCAUAGAUAAUACUGACUUUUUAGCUAUUCAUUUAAUGAAUUUUUCCAUGUUGGAUUAUAUAUGCCAAGGUCACUAGUUUUGUGGCAUAAAGUUCCUGUGCAGAUGGUUGAUUUCCAAGGUGAUUCUAGGAUCAUGUCCUUUUUUUUGAAGAACAAAAAAGUUAUUCUAACUUUUGGACAGGGCCAUGCAAUACAGGUAACUAAUGUACGGCAGACCUUUUCUUAAGUAAUAUCAGCAGCUGAAGCAGUUCAAGGAAGUCAAGUGAAGCAAAGGUAAUUUUGUCGGAUGUAUAGCAAACCAGAUUUAUAUUAUACCAUAUCAUUUUAUACAACAUUUUAGUUUUUUAUACGGUAUUUUCUGGGACUGAUUUAGGAUUAAGUUGUUAAUUAUAGAGGUCUUUCAACCUCAGAAGAUCAAUUUUUUUGACAUGUAUUACUUUCACAAGGAUUGCGCAAUUGCAUCCCAUGCCCAAAGUGGCGGAGCCAGGAUUUUUUUUUUUUUUUGGUGUGUGGUGGGUGGGGGGGGGGGGGUGCAACAUUAGCAAUUAAUGAUUCAUGAAUAUUUCUUUUGCUGGCUACAAAAAUUUAGAGCUUAAAUUCUACACCUUUUACACAAAUAAAAUAAAAAAAAUUAAAAUGCCAAAAGAAGAAAAAAUUAUACUUAGUUUCACAAUGCAAAGGCAUAUUAGCAAAGUUGUAAUGUAUAAGACAUAGUUCCCAUCCCUUCUCCAUAUAUAUGUGUGUGUACACCUAAUAUAUAUAUAUAUAUAUAUAUAUGUAUAUAUAUAUGUAUAUGUAUAUGUAUAUGUCUGUCCAUUUUCCAUAUGUGUGUAAACAAUCCAUACAUACUUCAUGUUGACAGUUCGCCAUUUACACCAACCAUAAACCUUCCUGGAACAACAUCAUUAUAACAAUCCAGAAGGAUAAGUUACAGACAAAUCCAUACAUGUUAAGAACUUUUGGUAGGGAAUACAUCCUUUAAAUAUCGAUAUUUAACUUAUGUCUAAAAAUGAUACAACUAUGGCUAAUUACCUGUACACAUAAGAGGGCCUACUGGCAUCUUAAAUGCUUCAAAGUUAUGGUAGAAGGCAAAUAGACCUCUUCUAUCUUAACCAUUAGUUAUUCAUUUAACAAAAAAUAUUAUUGCCUCUUGAAGAGUGUGGCCCCAAAAAGAAUGUUAAUAAUACCAAUUUAAUUUUUUCCAUAUUUUCAGGGGAUGGGGGGACUUGCCUUCCCUUUGCCCCUGCUGGCUCCACCUGUGCAUGCCAAUGUUGACCAGGGAUUGACAUGGCACAUGCUGCAUGCUGUGGGCAUGAUACCAAUGACAUGAACACAAGCAUUUUUUGAUUUUUUCAGAUUAGGUUACUUUAAAUUAUUUCAUGAUAUUGUUAAGAGUUGGUCCAUGCAUUAAACAAUAAUCUAAAGCUAUAUAUAUAUAUAGUGCGAUCCAAUUUAACUACGUUACCCUAUCAUACAAUUAUGGUGUAGCUUAACACUAUAGUAGAGUAAUGUCACAGCUACAGUAAUGUCAGAUGGGGAUCUUCUAAGUACUCCCCAGCCAACAAACAAACCCUUGCUGGCUCCGACUGGUUCAGGGUAUACAUUUUAGGAUUUGAGGUCUGGUUUUGGGGAUUGGGCUUUAGGUUUAGGGUUCAGUACAGGGCAGUACCAUUUUGUAUCAUUCUAUAGGCUGUAAAACACAAUUACCUCUGCACACAUGCAAGGCCGGUACCAAAACCAGCCCCAAUACGAUAAGUGUGGCCAGCAUAGAACAACAUGGAACAUGAUCCAAAAUCUGAUUUCCAUUAAGGUUCUUGAACAUUUUCUUUGGAUAGAUAAUGGUACUCAACUAUUAGAAGACCGAAACUUACUAAAGCAGACCUUUGAAAAAAAUCAUCAUGCUUUGACAAUCCUAAUGAAGGAUGACAUUUUGAUUACAUAAGGGGACCAGGACAGAGUGAUCUUUUAUUGAAAAAGGACACAGCUUGAGAUGGAAAAAGAUAGGAAAUCAUUCAAAAAGUUGAUGGGCAUUUUGUUUAGAUAUAAUGAGUCAAAAAAAACAAGAAUAUGCGUUUUUUAGGAAUCAGUGGUGGUGCUUUAUUUAGACAAGCAGUUCUUUUCUAUGCUUUACAAAAAAUCCUAUAAUAUAAUUAUUAUCAACAAGCUUUAUCUCAUCUAUCCGGUCCAACUUUAAAGAAUGAUGCAUGAUUAUGGAAUGUUGAAGAAUGUUACAAGGCCAGCUAUCAGCCUAGCAUCAUCGGCUCUUAAAUCCAGGCCACGGCAUCUCUGGAUAAAAAAGGAACUUACCAUGAAACAAAAAGCCUACUUGUUGGGUAAAAGAUUAAUCUUCUUGAUCACACAACUUAAGCUCAUGCAACUGCAGAGCAUAUAUUAAAGAACAUAGAAUUAGGUUUCUAAAUGGUCUUAUUGGUUACCACUUGAUUCCAUCUUUUCUUCUUCUUGCACUUCCUCGUCUUAAAUGUUCUUUUUCUUGCCCUACUAUUUUUUCACUCUUCUCUUUAUUUCUUUUUUUCUAAAAUAAACUCUCUCACCAUUAAUCAAUCACAUAUAGAUGGUAUGAGUUUGUUCUUGUAUGCUAUUUUCAUCAUACAUACAUGGUGCACGAAGGCUCUCCACAGACAUGCAUUAAUAAUGAAAUUCAUACUUAACCAAAGAUCCUAACUCUAUCAUCAUGCUUAACAAAUUAGACAACUUCGUACGGAGAAAAGCUGACACCUUGCCACACAAAUGAAUUUCCACAAAGGAAAUGAACUGUGGUGUUGGUAAGAGGAACUUGAAUACCUAUGUAAUAGAUGUAAUUGUGUAUGUAACUCCUGAUUUCACAAAAUUUUACUCAUAGUAAGAGAUUUACUGUUAUCAUCAUGAAAGAUUGAGGAAUCUAUACAAAAAGGAGAAAAAAAAUUUUCUUCUACCUGAGAUUGCAGGAUAUGCAUAUGGUGCAGAAUGAUAUCUGGUUUUCAUCAUCCCCACUGAAGCCAUAACUACUUCAGGUCUUGAAUAGCUGUCCUCUCUGAAAUGAUUUGGAAAGCUAUCUGCCGAUGGUAAUCCUCCUGAGGUUCCCAAGAAUAGUUCUGAACUUUGUGUUAGAAUCUGACCAUGGUUCCAGACAGCAGCCAAGGAGUAUGUCUGUCUGUUUCCCAUGGGAGAAAGCAGAAAUCUAAUCACUGCUCGGUCUGGACUUUAACUAGAUAAUCAGAAGUUAUGCAAGCCUGCAAGGUUCUAUCAGUCAAAACACGCGUGAAAUAAAUGCUCAUCAUUAGACAUGUUUGAAUGGAAAGUCUUAUGUGCAUCUAAAGGAAUCCAUCCAAUAAACAGUCAGGGGAAUUAAACAGAACUAGCUUAGAAGAAUGAGACUCACUUCUUUGAUAGUCUACGGACUAUAGAAAGUGGAAGCCUUGACGUGUAACGUAAAGCCUCAUGAUUUUCCUUGUAAGGUAUAGAUAUCUAAGAAAAAUAAUGAUAUAACUGUUAGAAUUCAUCUGAUUUUCAGUUGUUUCCAUAUUCAUUUAUUGGGGUUUUUGUGAUGUUUUUGUCUUAUACCAAUGAAUUAGAUCUUGGAAUCUACGAAAACCUUCAAAUAUUAGAACCAGCCAUUCCACAUUCUGCCACAGUUGAAAGGAGCAAGGAUUAUGUUACUCUUAUCUUCCACUUUAGACUCUGUUUAUGGGCUUUUGGCCCAAUGGCCAUGUGCAUAUCCACCCAAUCUCGCAUCGCACGGAAGGCCAGGAUGUAGUCGGGUGUGCAUGUGAACUUGUUCUCCUUUAUAUUUAAUUUAAAUGUUUGCAAUUAAAUCCAUUCUAAGCCGUUGGGAUCUCUGGCAUGCAAAGCUUCAAUUCCUGUGGGACAAGGCCAUCACGGCUUUUUCAUGAAACGAUGUGCCAUGUCUUGACACUGAAGAUGGUGGAUGUCCUGCCCUGUCUGGUCACAGUCCUUGUAACAUCCCGACGCUUAGGACAGUGUGACAUUCAGCCAUCCCACCAGGAUUUAAAUACUUGCUGGUAGGGGAUGGUAGGCAUUGAGCUCUAGUUUAAUCGAGGUGAUAGUUUAGCUAUUCGAUGCCAAGGGGUCCUAUCGGCAACGGCAGGGGAGAGCACAAGGCAAUAUAUAGGUGAAGUUAUAGCUUGAGAGCUGCACUGCUGCAUCAACUUCACAAGAGGGGGCUGAUAAAGCUCUUAGCAUAGUGAAUAUAUGUGCUUAGAUCCCAAACCAGGCUUUACUUUUGUUUGUUCUUAUUCUCUAUUAUAUCAUAUUAUUGCUAUUAUCUUGCAUACUUAACAAUAGUUAGCUUUUGAUUUUUCAGUUCACACAAACUGCAUGCAAAAAUUCAAAAAAGAUUCAUAUCUUUUUUUUGUAAUGUCUAUACCUAUUAAAUAGACAAGAGAGAGAAACUUGUUGCUCUCCAAUAAUCGUUAAAAACUAAAAAGUUAGCGAGACAACCUAUCUCACUCCCAUGUCAUCCAUAUAAUCGCUGCCCUAUUAAAUGCCAAAAUAAAAGGAAAGGAUUAAUUUUAGAGACUCCAUUGAUUUUGGGAUAUCCUAAAGUGGAACCCUUUAUGACUUUCUUUUCCCUUCAAUACUGGCAUUGAGAAUCAAACGCUUGGCCAAAAGUUAGUAAAAUCAGAAAAUUUCAAAUAAUAAGUAACAACUUCAAAUAAAUUGCCGUGUCAUCCCAUAUGUCCCGACAUGCUCAGUUGUUGCCUUAGGAAUCCAAACAUUCAUUCCAUAUAUGCUCAACUCUUUUGAAAUUGUUUGACCAAGAUUUUAAGUAUCAACCUGCACCAAGACAUAUCAUACUAACUCGGUAAGGUAUUAGUACAUUGCAGGGGCUCAAUACACCCUCUACCUACAUAUGAUAGGUGUUGUGCUUACUCUAGUAGGGUAUCAUGCGUUGGUAUGGGCACAUAAUACCAUCGAUAAGUUGCUAGCAUAGGGCCUUGACAACAACAUGGGGGCAUACCUAAUGCAGACAAAAAUACCCUGCCUCAAGAUUUGUGCCACGGCCCAAACAGCAACAUCAAAGCAAAAUGGGCAACUCCUGAGGAGUUUAAAUUGAUGGCCAUCAUAAACAAGUGGUGGCACUUGACUUAUAGGUGCCCAAAGAGCUCAAACUUUUGCAGUGUUGGAAUGCAUCCUAGGUAGCAGGAGCAUAAAAGCAUAGAAAAUAAUGUAGAAAGAAUUUCAAGAUGAAACACUUCUAAUUUGUUCAUAUUCAAAUAGACUUUCUAGCACAACUUGAAUCAUAAUAAUUGGAGUUUAGAUGAAGAAGUUAUGGCCAAUUUAUUGAAGAUCUGUCCUUGCUGACAAAGUGGCAGUUAUUUACGAAGAUACCAUUUGCGACCUUAAAAGCAAGAGCUUUUUUUUCUUAUAUUUUUAACUAGAUUUUCUUAUUUAUUUCUUCUAAAAAUAAUUGUCAGAGGAGUUAGAAGUCCUAUCGUACUAGGAAAACUAUUUUUUGCUAUUAUCUCUUUAUUUUCUAUAGAUAGAUGUGUCUUACAGGAAUUUGGAAAGCCUAAAGAUCUUGGAAGACCUCUGUCAUAAAUACCCAUAUACGCCUCCCUUUUGUAUCAUAAUGAAUUGAAUCAAAGCUUUUGAGUUAUCUUUGUGAAAGAUCUUGAUGGUGUGACUCUGCCUUGCCAUGGUGCCACUUCAUAGCAACCUUCAUGCAACUCAAAGGCUCUUAUUAUAGUGUGACUCUGAAAGGCUCUACUCGAAGCUGGUAUAACAUCGGUGGUAAUGUAGGAAGCCAGGUAAAGAUCGGCAUGACUCUAGUUGGAUUAAGGGAUUUGGUUGAUCAGAAUCUAACUAGUUAUCCUAAGUUAAAUUAACUUCAAACUCUAUUAUAUUUCUCGCUUUCUAAUUCUAGUUUAGAUUCAAAGCCUUCUAGUAGAAUUAUUUUUUUAGUUAUUUUCUUUUAUCAAUAAUUAUUGUAAAAUCAAAAAUUAUUAUUUUAUUCUUUUUGCAAUUCUAGAGAAUCCUAGUUCCCUCUCAGGGUAGGAGAGGCUUUGUUCAGGUUAGUUUAUUUUAAUGGUAUCGAGCAUCCUAGGUAAUCUUACUCGCGGACAUCCUUCAUCAAUCACUUCUGCAACUCGAGUUAGGCCAAUGCACUAUGCACACAACACGACCUCAGCAGUCGGAUCCCUAGUCCUCAAAUUCCCGGCCUGCAUCAGUAGCUCAGUACUAUACCAUACCAAUAAGUUAUCGAAAUAGGGCUCUAAAUCAAGACUUAAGAUAUUGUGCCUGGCUAUUACCUUGUGAAUCCAAAUAUUUCAGACUAUUUAAAUUUUGGACAUGAUUUACUCAAACCUGACCCAUUGACAUCCCUACAAAUGUUACUUCCACUUGAGAAAUACCAAAAUAAUUAGAAGAUAUACGAAUGGCUUUUGGAUCAGCUUUAUUUGUCAAGAAACAAAACUCAAAAUUCAUUUUCCGUCUUGAUUAGUUGACUUAAAACAGCCCACAUUAAGCAAUUCAUCCUACCUUUUCCUUCCUUGCUCACCUAGUUUAGAAAGGGUUUCAUCUCUUUUUCCACAGAACAUAGAUAUCUAUUAAGAUCCAAGGAAACUUGCAAGGAAGUAAAAAUAUCUUCCAAUUCUUUUUUUCUUUUUUAUCUCCUUUUGCUAUUGUCUAAUUGUAUCCGACUUAGUUCGCUCCCUCUCCUUUUAAACCUUAGAAUAAAGAGGCUCUGAAAAGGAUUUUGCAAUUUUAUUUGUUUCUUUUCUUUCGGACAUAAAGAUCCCCUCAAAACAAAUUUUCAAUUAUGACUCUCAAGUCUCAACAAAACUACUUAAGUCUAAUGAUGUGAGAGAUAUGUUCGACAUAGCAAAUGAACACACAAAGAAAAAUUGAGUAGAUUUGAUUGCAAAAUUUAGUAAAAAUCAUACUCCACAUGCCUUAAAGUGGACAAAACUUAAUGCUUAGUAGACAGUUAUGGAUAUUAAUAUACUUAAGCUUGAUAUUUAACUCACACAAAAUGUCCUGCAAAAUUUCUAAAAAAAUAUGCAUCUUUUCUCAUUUUCCCUUAACUCCAACUAAUCUAAUAGAUACGAGAAAGAAAUCUUUCCUCCACCGCCCCCCCAACCCCCCCCCCCCCCCCCGCGCCCCAACACACAAAAGAAAAGCUGAAAAAUCUAGAGAAAACCAGUGAAAAAACCUAGCUUGCUGCCAUGUCAUUAAUAUUUGAACUGCCAGUUAAAUGCCAAAAAAAAGAGAAGGAUAGAUUUUGGUGAUUGUUGUUCACCUCGAUUAUUAAAUAUUCUAAAUAGGAAGUCUCUUAGAAGUUAGGAUCUUUGUCCCCUUUCAUAGUAGAGUUAUGAGAAUCUUGCGUAGAAACCACAAAAAAAGAUGAACAUACUUGAGUAAAAGGCAUUAUUUCACCCUAAAACUGCCUUGUCAUCCGCCCCCUUUCAUAGUAUAGUUAUGAGAAUCUUGGGUAGAAACCACAAAAAAAGAUGAACAUACUUGAGUAAAAGGCAUUAUUUCACCCUAAACUGCCUUGUCAUCCGAUAGUUUUCCACACGCUCACAAUUGCUUGAAAUCCAAAUGUUAGAUGACAUCAAUGGGUCGACCAUCGGGCCUAAUUUUAUAUUGUUCCAGCUGGAUCACUUUGUUGGGCCUACUGAAAAUUUUGGAUAUGCUGCCCAGACCCAAUCCACUAACGGUCCAAAAAAAUUCCAUAGAAACUAACCCACCUUUUUGAACUUUUGGAUCAACUUCAUUUGGACUUUGUAAAGAAUCCGAACUUGGAAAGUCAUGUUUACUCUUGAGUCUUGACUGAUUUACAACCAUCAUGUCUGAACAAUUAUAUAUAUACAUAUAUUCACAAAAAUAUACCCACAUAUACAUAUAUAUGCACACGCAUAUAUAUAAUAUAUAUAUAUAUAUACAUAUAUAUAUAUACACACACAUACAUACCAACAAACAUACAUAUAUACAUAAAAUUCUCUUUCCUUCCUAACUCAGUUACUGUAUAUAGUAUAUACAUUAGCUGCAUUUCAUCUUCUCCUGGACAAAACACACCUAUCUAUUAUAAUAUAAGGAAACCUAUGAGUGCAUAGAUCUUCUCAAUUGUUGCUUCAUCUUUUUUUCUUCCCUAUUCUUGUUUGUUAGUGUUCUAAGUUCUAAGUUCUAACUGUGUCUGACUUCAUUAACUUCCUCUCUUAAUCCUAAAAAUGAGAUAAUAGAUAGAAGUUCAAGCCAUCACAUCAAUUUAUUGGAAGAUUACUAAGAUGCAUGAACCUGCAAUUAGGGUUUAUAUAAAUUAUCAACUAGACUGAACAAGAUGAAUGAUGAAAGUGAAACCUUAUUAUUUUUAAAAUUGUUUCUAAAAUCUUCAGAGCUUUGGGUAGCAAAUCCAUUACUUUCAAAAAAGAGUAAAAAUAAAAGCAGGAAAAGCAGAAGUUUUGUGCAAAUGUUGUAUUCAAUAUCAAUCUCCAUAUGCCAUUUCACAAAUGUUAGAUAAACAAAAACACAGAAACAAUGAUGAUGCCAAACAGGCCGUCAAUUAUUUUUGUAGUUUUUUAAUAAAUUACUAGGUGGCUGCCACCUGAUUAUUUGAACUAUGUUAAUAAAAAAUGAGCAUUAAAUGUUGGGUCAAAAAACAAAAAGGAAGGUGUAACACAGCUAGACAGUAGUUGCAGAAUAAUUUUAAAGAACUUUAUGCUGACCAUGUUUUUACCUUGAUAAGAAGAAAAAGGGAAGAUAGGUUUAUUAGGCAAAAAAGAAAUAAACAACAAGGUACAUUCGUUUUGUUUAUUCUCAAGCUUGAAUCAUGUCAUAAAGAAAUGUCGGCAAGAGCAAUGCUACAUGGAAAGGCAUCGCCAGAGAAAUGAGAGGAUGUGACUAAGAAGUUGAGGAAAAAAUGAUAGCAUAAUAAACAGACUGUCCUUCUAAUAGAGAAUUUGGUCCACUAAAUAACAGAUAAACAAGGAUUUCUCAGAAGUAACAGCACAAUACAGAAGUAGAUUCAUUCCAGAACAACAAACAAAACCACCUCCCACUAAGAACAAAAACUAAGAUCAACUUUAGAGCACAAAAAUCAGGUAUUUCUUGAGAUCCAAGAAAGUACCUGAAAUCUGGAGCUUCACAGCUUAGAAAAGAAAAACAUUGGCAGAAUGCAAGACCUCUCGCAUGUGAUGCAGCAAUAGAGAGAUUGGAAGGUACUAAGGUUCGACUUCUCAAAACCCUCACUUCCAAUACUCGAAACCCUUGCUGGAAGAGUAGCAUUUCUGGAGAAAAACAACAUAAAACAAUCUCCCAGAAAGGCCACUCAAGUCCUCAUCUAAAGCUAGGGGCUUCUUGGAGAAGCUUCUUGCCUCAGAAGUCAAAUUUCUCACCUAACCUCACCCAACACCUCAUGCUUCUUUCCCAAAGACCCCCACAACAUAAACUACUAUUACAAAUAAGACCAAGAGAUCAAAAUGACCCAAAAUAUGUCCCAAAUAAGACUUGACAAGAAUUGGGAAACUAAGUAACAAAAACACCCCCGGAC
rnacentral:lncRNA from 1 species